GCCCCGGAUAGGCCCGCGAACCGAAAAGCGGGACACCUUCACCCGUCUGCCGGGGCACCCCAUUGAAGG
rnacentral:sRNA from 1 species